GAUGAACGCUGGCGGCGUGCCUAAUACAUGCAAGUCGAGCGAACAGACGAGGAGCUUGCUCCUUUGAUGUUAGCGGCGGACGGGUGAGUAACACGUGGAUAACCUACCUAUAAGACUGGGAUAACUUCGGGAAACCGGAGCUAAUACCGGAUAACAUGUUGAACCGCAUGGUUCAACAGUGAAAGACGGUCUUGCUGUCACUUAUAGAUGGAUCCGCGCCGCAUUAGCUAGUUGGUAAGGUAACGGCUUACCAAGGCAACGAUGCGUAGCCGACCUGAGAGGGUGAUCGGCCACACUGGAACUGAGACACGGUCCAGACUCCUACGGGAGGCAGCAGUAGGGAAUCUUCCGCAAUGGGCGAAAGCCUGACGGAGCAACGCCGCGUGAGUGAAGAAGGUCUUCGGAUCGUAAAACUCUGUUAUUAGGGAAGAACAAAUGUGUAAGUAACUAUGCACGUCUUGACGGUACCUAAUCAGAAAGCCACGGCUAACUACGUG
rnacentral:rRNA from 1 species